AUAGAUUUCAUAGAUCUCUAGGGUCCAAAGGGACCUAUUAGGUCAUAGAGUCCAACCUCCUGCUCUGGGCAGGAAAGAGCGCUGGGGUCAAGUAACCCCAGCCAGGUGCAUGUCUAAUCUCCUCUUGAACACCUCCAAGGUAGGGGAAAGCAUCACCUCCCUUGGAAGCCCAUACCAGAUUUUGGCAGCCCUCACUGUAAAUAACUUCUUCCUGAGGUCCAAUCUAAA